AUCUCAGGGGAAACAGGGUUGCCUUUCUUUCCCAGCCUAGAGACUUCUCUCUUGAGUACAAACCCACCACAGGAACAAGUAAUCCAGACUUUGGGGAUGGCACCAGAAGAUCUCAGAAAUGACUGUCUCCCAAGUUAACAAGUGAUUGACAACUCCAGACAGAGAACAGGGGAUGGACUUUGAGCCACCUCUCUAGAAGCCCCCUGUCCCUGCUGAUGGGCAGAACCACCUCUUUGGGACAGGAGUCCCCUGUGUUUUUCUUUUGCUAGCAAAGCAAUAAACCUUUUUCUCAAAACUGAGUCCUCUUUAUUGGAUUGGCAUCAGAGACAAAGGCUGAGCUUUCAGCAACAUUUUGGCACCCCAGAUGGGACCCAAGAGCAGCCCCCACUCCAGCUUUCUUGGGCAGCCCUGGCUCUCUGAGGAACCCCACUUCCAUGCUGAGGAUUCGUGGUCCUGGUGAACUUCUUGGGAGGCAGGAGAGGAAGGAGGCGAGUCGGCUUUGGGUAGAACCUAGGAGCUGUUCUCGAAAGUCAAGGGAGGGACUGGGGGACCGUCCCAGCAGCUGCCGAAGCUCCUUUGGCUUCAGGGAACUCCAGCCCUCUCUCCCUGAACGGUACGGCGUGCUCCAUCCUGGUCCACUUUGAGAAAAAGGAAACUGAACUUUAGAAACUCAUGACAACUUUGGCCACUUGCUGGAUAAAGUAACCUGUGGGGAGCCACCCGUGAGCUACUUGAGGGGUGUCUGCACUCGGAACCCAGCCAUGAGACUUAGGGUUUUUCCUCGGGAACUCUCCUGGCUCUCCCGUGCACAUCAGACUGACCAAAGCAUGAGAUCUCUGUCUUCACUCCUUGGCUUUGGAGUUGGGCUUAACCCACUGGGAACUGGACAGCCCACCUGCUAACUUAUUUGGCACAGAACAUUCCAUGGAAAACCUUUGAGGUUCCCCAUAUAAAUAAAGCAAGCGCAGGCUCCAUCCUCUCUUUCUAGUGUGGAAGCUCCAUCCUUAAGAUCCGCGAACCCUCCCGCCCCCGCUUUUUUUUUAAGUUAAAAAGAUUUUAUUGAUUUGGGUUUUUUUUUUUUUUUUUGUGUGUGUGUGUGUGUGUGUGUUGCUGGGGAUUGAACACAGGGCCUUGUGCAUGUAAGGCAAGUACUCUACAACUGAGCUUUAUCCCCAGCCCUGGAUUUUUUUUAAUACCUUUAUUUUAUUUAUUUAUUUUUAUGUGGUGCUGAGGCUUGAACCCAGCGCCUUCUAUGUGCUAGACGAAUGCUCUACCGCUGAGCCACAACCCCAGCCGCCCCCCACCUCCCCCGGAUUUGUUUUUUAAUGACACAAUUUAGUACCCAAUAGCAUUUUAGAAAUCUACUUAAGGUAGUUUUAUAGUGCCUCAAAAAAAAAAAAAAAAAAAACCAGAACAGAGGCUAGGGAUAUCCUCCUGAUAAAGUUAGAGGUUAGCCUAUUGGAGGCCUGGGUUUUAUUCCCAGUGCUGCAAAAAGAAAAGAAAGGGAAAGCAUAAAAUACUUAAUAUUUCCUAUAGCCACCCCCGCUUUUUAAAAAUUGUUUUCUGUGUCCUGUGGUUUUUCUGCCACCUUCUUCUUCUUUUUUAGCCUUUAUUUCGCAACCAGCCCACUCUGUGAAGAGGAACCCCAAUUCCGUCGCCUGCACCGGAUGCGGGCAAGAGUGACCUGUGGUCAAUGUUAUAUAUACAAUUUUGUGCUGCUUUUCACACUGGAAUUGGAAUUUAAAUGCAUUUUUUGGAAGAUGAUAAGGAGAUCCUGAUCUGCUUAAAGGUGACAUUGUAAAACAUGGAGGCAUUCUGCCACUUUUUCCACAAAAAGAAAGUUAAAAGCUCUCUUAGACUUUCCUUGAUUCUUGUUUCCCAUGAAAUGUUGUGUUGUGUUAUUUGUGAAGAGCCCCCCUUGCCUGGGAUAAGGCUCUGCCUCCCACCUUACUCCAUGUCGAAAUGGCUCCAAAAUAAGCCACACUUCAGCUCAUUUAAAGUUGUGUUCAAAAGAUUGACUUUUUUUUGUAAGGAUUACUGUGAUCUCCAACAGGGAUUAUAAUAUAUAACUAAGUGAAGGGUCAAGAUUAUAAAAGUCGUUUUUCUUGGUUCAUAGCUCUUACACAAACUGAAUAUAUUUUUGCUCUGUUUAUUUCAUUUUGUGUUUUCCUUGUAAACUUUAUAACUGUUGCCUGUUAGUGUUUUGCAGAGGUUCUGUUUCAAAAAAAAAAAACAAAAAAAAACACCAACCUGGUUUAAUUGGAGGUAAUAAACCUUCACCUACAGGAUAGUAUGUAAUGCUGACUUCCUGUACUAAUACUCAUCCCAAUGAAAUGAAAGGUGUGUCUGUGAAAUUAUAGAUAUUGAAGUUAUAACCUGUUACUCCCUCUUUACGAUUGGCAGAACUGGUUUUAAGUUGGGUGUUUAAAACCAAAAACUUGGAGACCGAAGUCAAGGAAGUAAAAGGACCAAGGGAAAGCAGCCCUGGACAUUUGGCCCCGGCCCUCUAAGGUCAGCCAGGGCCUAGACAACCAUGGGACCCCCUCUGGGCCCUGAAGCUCUGCAUGAUCCCUGCCCUCUGCACGCCUCGUCCCUUCACGGCCAUCUGCCACUGUGGACCUCUGACUGCUCUGAGGCUGAGUGUCCUUACCUGUCCACACCCCACCUGAUGGAGAACAAGGACUUUGGGUCACUCCCCAACUUCGCCUCCCUUCAGCAGACAGUGGUUUGGAAAUGUUGUCGCCCAUUUCUCCACACAAAUGGAAUGUAGAAAUUGACAGUGAGGAAAUGUAACCAUGGUGUCCUUUAGGCCUUGAAUACAGCCCUUGCCACUGCCAUGUAUCCUUAAAAGGGACAUGCUUCUUUCCCUUCCUGUCUGCUCCUCCCUAAUCUCAAGGGAAACAGGAUCACCCUCCUUCUCCCUCCUAGGUAGACUUAUCUGUCCUUGAGUGCACACCCUCCAUAGGAAUAAAGUAACCCAGACUGUGGGAUGGCACCAGAAGACCUCAGAAAUGACUGUCUCCCAAGUUGACAAGUGCAACGGAGCCUUUGAGCCACCUCUUUAAAAGCCCCCUGUUCCUGCUGAUGGGAGGAACCGCAGCCUUUGGGACAGGAGUCCCCCGUGUUUCUCCUUUGCUUGCAAAGCAAUAAAUCUUCUUUUUUUCUCAAAA